rnacentral:rRNA from 1 species
GAGUUUGAUCAUGGCUCAGAACGAACGCUGGCGGCAGGCUUAACACAUGCAAGUCGAGCGCACCUUUCGGGGUGAGCGGCAGACGGGUGAGUAACGCGUGGGGAUGUGCCCAGAGGUGGGGAAUAACUGUGGGAAACUACAGCUAAUACCGCAUGAGCCCUUCGGGGGAAAGAUUUAUCGCCUUUGGAUCAACCCGCGUCAGAUUAGCUAGUUGGUAGGGUAAUGGCCUACCAAGGCGACGAUCUGUAGCUGGUCUGAGAGGAUGACCAGCCACACUGGGACUGAGACACGGCCCAGACUCCUACGGGAGGCAGCAGUGGGGAAUAUUGGACAAUGGGCGCAAGCCUGAUCCAGCCAUGCCGCGUGAGUGAUGACGGCCUUAGGGUUGUAAAGCUCUUUUAACAGGGACGAUAAUGACGGUACCUGUAGAAUAAGCCCCGGCAAACUUCGUGCCAGCAGCCGCGGUAAUACG